UACCCCUCUCCACACACUCUCUUCUACCACAGAAAACACUCCACUCCAUGUAUUCCUUCUCUCUAAACCCUCUCACAACCUCCCUCUGAAGCAAGCCAUUCCCUCUUCUAAUCACUUCCACUCUGUUGCAGCUGCUGAAACCCGGAACCAGGAGAGGAACUUCUCCUCAAGCUGAGCCAUCUCCCCUUCCGCCCCUUAGGUUGAGGACUUGAGGUGCCCUUGUGUUAGAGCCUUGCUUGUGGUGUUUUUUUUUAAGAGCCUAGCCCAGUUGAUGAUGCCCCCCUUCAGAGCAGGAACUGACCUUUCUUACUUAAAGCUGUAGUAGUUUUGAACCAGGCUUUUGAGGAGUCUUUUCUAGACAAGUUGUUAGGCCCCCUUCUUAUACUUUUGGAUGACUGUACCAAACACGUAUACA